GGUGGCAAGAGGUCUAUGGGUGAGGAGGAAGCUUGGGAAGAGGAGGAAAUGGCUUCUUAUGGUGAUGAAAUGGAGGGAUCUUUGGGAUGGGAGGGAUAGGCUUGUAGAAUACUGGUGGUUUAGGUUUCUUGAAUAUUGGAAUAUGAGGUGGAAGUGGCUUCUUGAAUAUUGGAAUAUGAGGUGGAAGUGGCUUCUUGAAUAUUGGGAUCAGUGGUUUCUUAAAAAGUGGAAUAGGAGGUGGAAGUGGUUUCUCAAAUUUUGGAAUCGGCGGCGGCAAUGGUUUCUUGUAAAUCGGAAUAGGUGGUGGAAGUGGUUUCUUGUAAAUUGGUAUUGGAGGAGGCAAUGGUUUCUUGUAAAUUGGUAUUGGAGGCGGAAGUGGCUUCUUAUAAACUGGUAUCGGCGGUGGAAGUGGCUUCUUAAAAAUGGGUAUUGGCGGUGGAAGUGGUUUCUUAAAAAUGGGUAUCGGCGGAGGAAGUGGUUUCUUAAAAAUGGGAACAUGAGGAGGGUAAACUUUGGGAGGCAGUGGAGGAAACACUUUAGCACCAAAGAACAAUGGCUGAUCAACUACAUCUUGUGUCUUAUCAUCGCCAUAGCUGAAAGAG
rnacentral:lncRNA from 1 species